UACGUAGGGUGCUAGCGUUGUUCGGAAUCAUUGGGCGUAAAGCGCGUGUAGGUGGUUAUUUAAGUCGAUUGUGAAAUCCCCAGGCUCAACCUGGGAAGUGCAGUCGAAACUAGAUAGCUAGAAGAUGGUAGAGGAAGGUAGAAUUCCUAGUGUAGAGGUGAAAUUCGUAGAUAUUAGGAGGAACACCGGUGGCGAAGGCGGCCUUCUGGACCAUUCUUGACACUGAGACGCGAAAGCGUGGGAGCAAACAGG
rnacentral:rRNA from 1 species